rnacentral:rRNA from 1 species
GGUUAAGUUAGAAAGGGCGCACGGUGAAUGCCUUGGCACUAGGAGCCGAUGAAGGACGGGACUAACACCGAUAUGCUUCGGGGAGCUGUAAGUGAGCUUUGAUCCGGAGAUUUCCGAAUGGGGAAACCCACUGUUCGUAAUGGAACAGUAUCUUUAUCUGAAUACAUAGGAUAUUGAAGGCAGACCCGGGGAACUGAAACAUCUAAGUACCCGGAGGAAGAGAAAGCAAAUGCGAUUUCCUGAGUAGCGGCGAGCGAAACGGAAUUAGCCCAAACCAAGAGGCUUGCCUCUUGGGGUUGUAGGACACUCUAUACGGAGUUACAAAGGAACGAAGUAAAUGAAGCGACCUGGAAAGGUCCGUCGAAGAAGGUAACAACCCUGUAGUUGAAACUUCGUUCCCUCUUGAGUGGAUCCUGAGUACGGCGGAACACGUGAAAUUCCGUCGGAAGCUGGGAGGACCAUCUCCCAAGGCUAAAUACUACCUAGUGACCGAUAGUGAACCAGUACCGUGAGGGAAAGGUGAAAAGCACCCCGGAAGGGGAGUGAAAGAGAUCCUGAAACCGUGUGUCUACAAGUAGUCAGAGCCCGUUAACGGGUGAUGGCGUGCCUUUUGUAGAAUGAACCGGCGAGUUACGAUCCCAUGCAAGGUUAAGCUGAUAAGGCGGAGCCGUAGCGAAAGCGAGUCUGAAUAGGGCGUUUAGUAUGUGGUUGUAGACCCGAAACCAGGUGAUCUACCCAUGUCCAGGGUGAAGUUCAGGUAACACUGAAUGGAGGCCCGAACCCACGCACGUUGAAAAGUGCGGGGAUGAGGUGUGGGUAGCGGAGAAAUUCCAAUCGAACCUGGAGAUAGCUGGUUCUCUCCGAAAUAGCUUUAGGGCUAGCCUCAUGUUGUGAGAGUCUUGGAGGUAGAGCACUGAUUGGACUAGGGGCCCCCAACGGGUUACCGAAUUCAGUCAAACUCCGAAUGCCAAAGACUUAUCCAUGGGAGUCAGACUGCGAGUGAUAAGAUCCGUAGUCAAAAGGGAAACAGCCCAGACCACCAGCUAAGGUCCCCAAGUAUACGUUAAGUGGAAAAGGAUGUGGAGUUGCUUAGACAACCAGGAUGUUGGCUUAGAAGCAGCCACCAUUUAAAGAGUGCGUAAUAGCUCACUGGUCGAGUGACUCUGCGCCGAAAAUGUACCGGGGCUAAACGUAUCACCGAAGCUGUGGAUUGACAUCUUUGAUGUCAGUGGUAGGAGAGCGUUCUAAGUGCAGCGAAGUCAGACCGUAAGGACUGGUGGAGCGCUUAGAAGUGAGAAUGCCGGUAUGAGUAGCGAAAGACAAGUGAGAAUCUUGUCCACCGAAUGCCUAAGGUUUCCUGAGGAAGGCUCGUCCGCUCAGGGUUAGUCGGGACCUAAGCCGAGGCUGAAAAGCGUAGGCGAUGGCCAACAGGUUGAUAUUCCUGUACCACCUCCCCGCCGUUUGAGUAAUGGGGGGACGCAGUAGGAUAGGGUAAGCGCGCUGCUGGAUAUGCGCGUUCAAGCAGUUAGGCUGAUGAGUAGGCAAAUCCGCUCAUCAUAAAGGCUAAGCUGUGAUGACGAGGGAAUUAUAGUACCGAAGUUCCUGAUUCCACACUGCCAAGAAAAGCCUCUAGCGAGGCGGGAGGUGCCCGUACCGCAAACCGACACAGGUAGGCGAGGAGAGAAUCCUAAGGUGAUCGAGAGAACUCUCGUUAAGGAACUCGGCAAAAUGACCCCGUAACUUCGGGAGAAGGGGUGCUCUGGUAGGGUGUAUAGCCCGAGAGAGCCGCAGUGAAUAGGCCCAGGCGACUGUUUAGCAAAAACACAGGUCUCUGCGAAGCCGCAAGGCGAAGUAUAGGGGCUGACGCCUGCCCGGUGCUGGAAGGUUAAGAGGAGGGGUUAUCCUUUGGGAGAAGCUCUGAAUCGAAGCCCCAGUAAACGGCGGCCGUAACUAUAACGGUCCUAAGGUAGCGAAAUUCCUUGUCGGGUAAGUUCCGACCCGCACGAAAGGCGUAACGAUCUGGGCACUGUCUCAACGAGAGACUCGGUGAAAUUAUAGUACCUGUGAAGAUGCAGGUUACCCGCGACAGGACGGAAAGACCCCGUGGAGCUUUACUGUAGCCUGAUAUUGAAUUUUGGUACAGCUUGUACAGGAUAGGUAGGAGCCUGAGAAGCCGGAGCGCUAGCUUCGGUGGAGGCGUCGGUGGGAUACUACCCUGGCUGUAUUGAAAUUCUAACCCGCGGCCCUGAUCGGGCCGGGAGACAGUGUCAGGUGGGCAGUUUGACUGGGGCGGUCGCCUCCUAAAAUGUAACGGAGGCGCCCAAAGGUUCCCUCAGAAUGGUUGGAAAUCAUUCGUAGAGUGUAAAGGCACAAGGGAGCUUGACUGCGAGACCUACAAGUCGAGCAGGGACGAAAGUCGGGCUUAGUGAUCCGGUGGUUCCGCAUGGAAGGGCCAUCGCUCAACGGAUAAAAGCUACCCCGGGGAUAACAGGCUUAUCUCCCCCAAGAGUCCACAUCGACGGGGAGGUUUGGCACCUCGAUGUCGGCUCAUCGCAUCCUGGGGCUGUAGUCGGUCCCAAGGGUUGGGCUGUUCGCCCAUUAAAGCGGUACGCGAGCUGGGUUCAGAACGUCGUGAGACAGUUCGGUCCCUAUCCGUCGUGGGCGUAGGAAAUUUGAGAGGAGCUGUCCUUAGUACGAGAGGACCGGGAUGGACACACCGCUGGUGUACCAGUUGUCUUGCCAAAGGCAUCGCUGGGUAGCUAUGUGUGGACGGGAUAAGUGCUGAAAGCAUCUAAGCAUGAAGCCCCCCUCAAGAUGAGAUUUCCCAUAGCGCAAGCUAGUAAGAUCCCUGAAAGAUGAUCAGGUUGAUAGGUCAGAGGUGGAAGCGUGGCGACAUGUGUAGCUGACUGAUACUAAUCGAUCGAGGACUUAACCAA